rnacentral:misc_RNA from 1 species
AUUUAGUGAGAGUGGAGGACUAGGACAGCAUCUUAUAAUUAUUGUACCUGGCUUGAUUGAAUGAUAAAAAAAAUUUAAGUGAAGUCCUCCCUCUUUAAUUAUGUUUUUGUUUGACAUUGUCAAGGCUAGGACUGGGAAUGUUUUGACAUAUAAAAAGUUUGCUCCGAUUUUGAAGGCGAUGGUUUAGCUCAUAGCUUUCAUUGAUUUUGAAGCGAAAUGAUGUAUUCUG